AUGGUGGACCCUGGAUUCAAGCUUUGCGCUCUAGUUCUGAAGAGAGCAGCAGGUAGACCUCGCAGCGAAGGAGCUGGACUUGGAGCGAGGAAGCGUAAGUGCACAAGGUGUGGUGGGUCUGGUCAUUUCGGUAAGUAUUGUGAUAACACAGUAGAUCCAGCGUUCGGAGAGAGUUUUGAUGAAGGCUUCGAUGAAAAUGUUGGUCAGCAGCCGGUUGCCUCAACAGAUGAUGAAAAUGAUGGUCAACAGCCGGUUGCAUCAGAUGAGGAUUUUGACGAGGUUCCAAAUGAUGAUGGUCAACAGCCGCAUGAUUUUGACGAUGAUGCAAAAUAUCCUCCAAAUAAUGAUUCAGGUGAGGAUCCAAAUGGUGAUCCAAGUGAGGCUCCAAAUAGUGAUCAUGGUGAUCCAAGUGAGGCUCCAAAUGGUGACCAACUUUCUGUUGUUGUGAGUUCUGCUAGGUAUGUAAAUCUUGCAAGGGUCAAAUACUACUGUACAUUUAUCACUUGA
rnacentral:rRNA from 1 species